rnacentral:rRNA from 1 species
AUUGAACGCUGGCGGAAAGCUUUACACAUGCAAGUCGAACGGCAGCACGGACUUCGGUCUGGUGGCGAGUGGCGAACGGGUGAGUAAUGUAUCGGAACGUGCCCAGUCGUGGGGGAUAACGUAGUGAAAAUUACGCUAAUACCGCAUACGAUCUAUGGAUGAAAGCGGGGGAUCGCAAGACCUCGCGCGAUUGGAGCGGCCGGUAUCAGAUUAGGUAGUUGGUGGGGUAAAGGCCCACCAAGCCAACGAUCUGUAGCUGGUCUGAGAGGACGACCAGCCACACUGGAACUGAGACACGGUCCAGACUCCUACGGGAGGCAGCAGUGGGGAAUUUUGGACAAUGGGCGAAAGCCUGAUCCAGCCAUUCCGCGUGCAGGAUGAAGGCCCUCGGGUUGUAAACUGCUUUUGUACAGAACGAAAAGGUUUCUACUAAUACUAGGAGCUCAUGACGGUACUGUAAGAAUAAGCACCGGCUAACUACGUGCCAGCCGCCGCAGUAA